rfam:Ictidomys tridecemlineatus contig014389, whole genome shotgun sequence.
UGGGUUGUGGCUCAGUGGCAGAGCACUUGCUUUGCACUUAAAAGGCACUGGGUUCAAUCCUCAGUACCACAU